rnacentral:lncRNA from 1 species
UUAAACAUUUUUUCCUUUUCCACCCUGAACCUGCAGACUGUAUCUGAAUCAACCCAAGUAGUGGCAGUUCUCAAAAAUGCAAGUUAAAACAGAGCAGACAGCGUCGACGGGAAGGUGAACACAGGAUUUGUUGUGGUCCACUGACUCCAGGUAGAAACCAGAGAUUGUCACAACAUAACCAGAAGUAAAG